AAGUACAACUGGAACACAGCAAUAGUCUCAUUUGCAACACAUUUCAUUAUGUUGCUUAAAACUGAGAAAACAAUGAGUUUUUUUUCCCAGCAGGUUAAAGUGAAAAUGAUCUUUUUCUUAUUAUUUCAUCAAGCCACGACUUAACAAAGGGACUGUUAGCCUCUGAAAGCGAACAUCAGUUACACCAUCCAGAUGUUUCACAGACCUCUGUUUUGCAUCACUGUGGAAAACAGACCUUGUGUUGUUGCUUUGCUCCUUCAUUUUAACUACUAUGUUUAAGCUGUCUGCUUUUCUUGGAGCAAAGGAAAUGAUGCAAAACUCAUUGAAAUGUUACACAGCUCGCCCUUUUAUCUCUUUGCCUUCCCUAUUCCCCUUUGAGACCCGCUGGUAAUAGUUCUCCGUGGCCCUGGAGGUGCAGGCUGACAGACACCACACUUUAAUCUUCCCUGCAUUGUGUUCUCCUUUUUGUCACAUCUUCUUAACGUCUCUUUGAGAGUUAGAUUUAUCUUUAGAUUAUUUUUUUCACAUGUUCUAGUUUCUGUUUUAUUAGCCCAUCUCUUUUGCAAAGAGAUCCUGUUAGUCUCAAAAGUAAGUGAAAUGUUUUCAGAAAAUACAGAAAACUCCAUCUUCCCACAGGCUUAAAGAGCAUUUUUACACUGUACAUGUAUAUUUUCAGCAUUUUAAUUAGUACAUUUGGAUUUUUUUCACUUCUUCAGCAAAGGUUGAGACUUGUUAGUAAGACAAGAGCCAAUUAAAAAUUGCUUUUAAUAAAAACAAGAAAUCUAAAUAUGGAACGUGUCAGAAUGAAAAAUCCUGAUCAUAUGAGCGAACUUUUACAACUUUACAACCAUCAAGCAAAGUUUUAUGGUAAAAGAUGAGAGACCUUUUGGUCACUAGGAGUGCGGUGACUCAAUAGUCCACUAAAAUUGAUGAGUUACCAAUGAAUUAAACUGCGGUAAUAAGUAGAGAUAAGGAGUUGUAUGUUUUCAACAUCUUUUCACUGGGUUGAAUCGAUGUGUAAUGGCACAUCUCAUGUCUUCACUAUCUUUGCAAGUCAAAUAGUGAUGACGAGGCAACAACAAACACAACGCAGCAAAAAAAAAGCAAGAGCUGAUGCAACGCCAUCGCAUCAUAACAUCUCUGACGUCUGACAUUUUAAGCAGUUUACCCUCAAAAGGCUUCUGCUCGAGCUGGACGUCAACAUUUCCUCAUCAUAGGAACACAUCAGUGAUCUAUGAGCGUUUAAGGACGCUUGUCUGUGGUGAAGUGACAGUUAGUAUGUAAAAGGCUUCGUGACACAUCUCGAUUUGUUCUCAGAAGAUGGAUAAGUGCAAGUUUUAUGUUUGUUUGGCAUGAUUGUCAGUUUCCAAGAUGACAUUUUGGAUCAGAGAUGCUGCACUUAAAAAAAGGCUUUAAUGGUUUCCGUUCUGGUUGAGAUAAAAUGACUGUGCGUCAUCCUGGUGAAUGUUAAUGCUCCUCUCUUGUUGCAGGAUUAAUUUCUGAUGUUAAGGAGGAGAACACUAAGAUGAGGGUUUUACUUCAUGUACCUAAUUUCUGCCGACUCUCACAAUAAGAGGAGUGUGAAUAUUGAUUUUAAAAAAAAUGAAUCCGUAGUCUUGACAUGGUGUAAAGCUAGGUGUAAGAACACUAAUGUAACAGGUCUAAGAAUAUCUCUCAGAGGUGUGUUUAGCAUCCUUGUUCACUGAAUCAAAUACCUAAGCUCUUUUAUUGAUCAGGUGUGGUGCAUUAGCAUCCCUACAUCAGCCACAGUUUCUAAGACAAAGUGGAGGUUCAGGCACUGCAGAGAUUCCUGUUGCUCUUAACAUGACUCGCCCCUUGUUUUCUGAAACGUACUGCAGGUUCAUUAAAAGUAACUGGCGGCAUGGCAAGCUACAUUCGACAUGCUUGCCAAACAUAUGCUAGUCUGCAUGUGGCAUAGCUGCAUGGCUUCAACAACAUCACAUGUAGGUUUUCAGCCAAUAACUGUAUCCCUCUCUCCUGAAUUUUCUGUCUGCCUCUUCAUUUCUUAUUAUUUUUAUUCCAAAAGAGGAAAACACUAACAUCAUUCACAGGAAACAUUACAGAGUUAUGGUCAAACACACCGUAACACCGAGUUAGACACCCCCUCGAGAGAUGAAUGUUGCCGACUGCUUACUUCUCUAGUUACACCAACUUAAAGGUGGGGUAGGCAGGAUUCUGUAAAAAAAAAAAAGCAUGUUUUUUUGUGGCGUAGAUACAAAAAAGCUUUUAAUAUCAGCCAGCAGCUAUUAGUCAUUGAUGACAUUUGGGAAUAUCACGGUCACCGUGUUCUCUUAUGUUUUUGUAGUCAACAUUUCAAAAUCGCUCUUUCUGACUGUAAACAAAGCCGUUCUCCUCCUCCCCCUAACCUGAUUGGUUCUGAGGCAGACGCUGCUCCCUGAUGUUGUGAGGCACGCUCCACAUCCUGGAAUACAGCGCACGAGCCCAAACAAAGUUAGCGUGCUACAUGACGGACUGUAGAAACCAACCAGAAAGUACUGAAAAUUGUCUGAAUCCGCCUUUAGUCACGACUGCCAACACAAGCAAGAAAACGAAAUAAAUACUGGAGACUGGUGGAAUAAGGGGCGCUUAAAAAGGAGGUAGACCGGACAAGAGCUAAAAAAACGGGUCAACAUCAGUGAACGCUUCGGGAUCUUACGAACCCUGUAACCUUUCUGCUGGACAGGUAAACCGCUUUAACAAAGUAAGCCAAGUGUAACAGCAGUGUUUCUUGUCAAAGGAAACCUGCUGCGUGUUGUGGCGCCGCUAAACUGUUGACCUCGGGUCCUGGACUAUGUCACUUUAUCCUAGUUGUAGAAGUCUUGCAAACAUUGUGUUUGCUGGUAGUCUGUUGGCAUCUACAGUAGCAUCAAUGCUGUUUACUUUCACGUUGACUGAGCCCCAUUUGAAGUCUUAAUCUGCAUUAUAUCUGAAUUUAAUUACAUCGAUACGAGCGAGCAGGAGUGUCUCUUUGUGGGCGGGGUUUGCUGGAGCAGACAGGGAGGGGAGAGGAGGAGCUGAGGGGAAAACUGGUUCAAAGGGGUAGAGUUUACAUUCAAGAUUUCUCCCAAAACCUGGCACUAACUCAGACCCUGCCCACCCCACCUUUGAGUAAUGGUCGCACGAUAGCAAUACACAGCGGUCUACACUUCCACGCGCAAACCUCAACCAAAACACCACUCUAUAGCCACAAAUAAUGCUCAGAACAGCACCUAACUUCAUCAACUGUACAUAUAGGGUCCCAGCCAAAGUACGAGCCAUCAAACUUCUUUUUAGCUUUGCCUGAUUUCUUAAGCAAAGAGACCAAACACAACUCACCCACUGUCCUCCAGCAGCCGCUUGUUUGAGGGGGAGCCCUGACGAGUCACUCAUUGCAAAUUUACACCAAAAUAGCCCUUUAAAAUUAUUGUAAUAUGGGCAGUAAUUGUCUGAACAUCAGGCCAGGACAUUUUCAUAACGUCAAAAAACACAAACUCACAACUGUUAAAUGGCAAAACAUGGCACCCAACAUCACCGACCUUUUAUAAAUCAAUAUCCAUUUCACAUUCAUUUUUUGGGUCUGUGUGGAUUUUAACAAAAUGCACAUAAUCCCAAACAGCAGUAAUGUAUUCCCUUACCCCUAAAUAAAGGGCUUUCCACUGAAUCCCCUUGAAAAACCUCCAGCCUCUAUUUUAUCAUGACUUUAUUCCUCCAGCAGCAGCUAAAGGCUGGAAAUGUGAAGGUGCAUCUGCCUCCAGCAUUCAGAGGCGCCCCUCUGGGAGCAAAAUUCAGCACAUCCAGCAGGCAGGCGCGGCUCAUAUCUGAAUACCAAUUCCCCCUUUUAGAUCCCUGUUGCUAGCCUGGCUCUCUGCUAGGUCUGCUGGUAGGUAUCUGGAUGAAUCAUUUUACAGAGCUGCUGCUGCUCGAGGCGAAGGCCCAAAGUCAUCAGCAAUGUCCAAAUCUUGUGACAUCUUAUAUCAUGGUCAGAUGAUGGCCUAUGAGAUCUGUGAUUUGAUGUUUUGUGAUCCAAGAAUUACUUCAAACUUACUCCAGUUAGUAAUCUCUGAGAACUGUGCCAGAGGCAUGAUUGAUGAUUGGAGAUAUUGGUAAUUAUUAUGAACCUUGUUUCUAUGGCGAUCAUGGUCCUAUAGUGCGAUCUCCACAAAGUGAGGAGAAAAAAGAACGAAAAAAAUCUGCUCACCCUAGCAGGUGCAGGGCUGCAAAAACAUUGACCAAUAGGAGCCAUCCAUCCAGGACUGCUCCUAUUGGUCAAUCUCCUGCUCCGCCUCUCCAUCCAAUCACCUCACUGUAUUCGACACACCCCUCGCCUGUAGUUCCGACUCGUCCCCUCCCACUCUCCUGGCUCUCCUUGGAGCUCUAAGUGGCUAAAAGUAGCAUAGCAGCUUAGCUACAGAAGCCGUGAUGGAGAAGGACGGAAAGAUAACACUUCUGUUCGCCCCACCGCCAAAAGUGGGAAGAAAACGCAAGCCGACA